rnacentral:rRNA from 1 species
GACGAACGCUGGCGGCGUGCCUAAUACAUGCAAGUAGAACGCUGAAGCGAGGAGCUUACUCUUCUUGGAUGAGUUGCGAACGGGUGAGUAACGCGUAGGUAACCUGCCUUGUAGCGGGGGAUAACUAUUGGAAACGAUAGCUAAUACCGCAUAACAAUGGAUGACACAUGUCAUUUAUUUGAAAGGGGCAAUUGCUCCACUACAAGAUGGACCUGCGUUGUAUUAGCUAGUAGGUGAGGUAAUGGCUCACCUAGGCGACGAUACAUAGCCGACCUGAGAGGGUGAUCGGCCACACUGGGAACGAGACACGGCCCAGACUCCCACGGGAGGCAGCAGUAGGGAAUCUUCGGCAAUGGGGGCAACCCUGACCGAGGCACGCCGCGGGAGUGAAGAAGGGUUUCGGAUCGUAAAGCUCUGUUGUAAGUCAAGAACGGGUGUGAGAGUGGAAAGUUCACACUGUGACGGUAGCUUACCAGAAAGGGACGGCUAACUACGUG